rnacentral:rRNA from 1 species
CACGUAGGAGGCAAGCGUUAUCCGGAUUUACUGGGCGUAAAGCGCGUGUAGGCGGUUCGGUAAGUUGGAUGUGAAAUCUCCUGGCUCAACUAGGAGAGGUCGUUCAAUACUGCCAGACUAGAGGACGGUAGAGGAAGGUAGAAUUCCCGGUGUAGUGGUGAAAUGCGUAGAUAUCGGGAGGAAUACCAGUGGCGAAGGCGGCCUUCUGGGCCGUUCUUGACGCUGAGGCGCGAAAGCUAGGGGAGCAAACGGG